GGGAAACUUAAUGGCCAAAUGGAGGUACUAUGAAGGCUGCUCUGAAAGUAAUGCCUCCUGUUCUGUUAUUUUGGCCCACCAUGUCAGAGGUUGAUGGUGGUAUGGCAGUAGAAGUUGAGUCUUCGCUCCAGUAUUCCACUACAUGUUGUUGCCAUGUAACGGAUGGCAGUAUGGGGGCAGUCUGACAAAGUGGCAUCUGACUUGGAAGUGCUUAUGAAACAAAGAUAUGGAAUUGAAUUUCUCCAUGCAAAAGAAUUUGCACUCGUUGCCAUUAGUUGAUGCUUGCUGAAUAUUUAUGGUGACCAAACAAUGGAUGUGAGCUUGCAGCCCAGAAGGCCAACUGUGUUCUGGGCUACAUGAAAAAAGGAGUGGCCAGCAGGAGAGGGAGGUGAUUGUCCCCCUCUACUCAGCUCUUGUGAGGCCCCAUCUGGAGUACUGUGUCCAGGCCUGGGGCCCCCAGUACAGGAAGGACGUGGAGCUCUUGGAGCUGGUCCAGAGGAGGGCCCCUAAGAUGAUCAGAGGGCUGGAGCACCUCUCCUAUGAGGAAAGGUUGAGGCAACUGGGCUUGUUUAGCUUGGAGAAGAGAAGACUCCAGGAAGACCUCAUUGUGGCCUUCCAGUACUUGAAGGGAGUGUAUAAACAGGAGGGGGAACGGCUGUUUAUGAGGGUGGGUAGUAAUACGACAAGGGGAAAUGGUUUUAAACAGACAUGGGAGGUUUAGGUUGGAUACUAGGAGGAAGUUUUUCACCCAGAGGGUGUUGACACACUGGAACAGGUUGCCCAAGAAGGCUGUGGAUGCCCCAUCCCUGGAGGCAUUUGAGGCGAGGCUGGAUGUGGCUCUGGGCAGCCUGGUCUGGUGGUUGGCGACCCUACCCAUGGAUGGGGGGUUGAAACCGGAUGAUCAUUGUGGUCCUUUUCAACCCAGGCCAUUCUAUGAUUGUAUAGUUAUAGUGAGGCAGUGGAUGCUGCAUUUCAGCAGUGGCGACAGCAGCAUUGGGUCGCCUCUGCUGGUGCUGAUUCUUACAACAAUGACAUGUAGGCUCUUGUUCAUGACUGGCAAAAAUGCAGCCAAUGGUUGGCUCUGUGGUGAAAAACAGUGUUUUGUAUCUGCGAUUUUGCUUUCUCAUAUAAUGUUAUUGUACUCUGCUGUAAUUAAUGUGGAAAUAAGUAGGAGGCAUUACUUUUGGAGUGACCUAUGUACUAGACUUAACAGCAGUGAAAUUUGAAGUCACUUAUGACUCAAUACAUCUUAUCUAGAGAGGAGAUGAAGACCACAGCAGCAAUAGCUAUGUCCUUCUCAGCUGUAGACAGUUAAUAUUUAUUUGGUUACAUUAUAAAGACUCAAUGUAUCUUUGCUUCAUGUUUAGCAAAACAGACGUCUCCAAAAAAUAAGUUGUUAGACUUUAAUUGUAUAACAGUUGUUUGCAUUCAUAUAAAGGAAAUGUAGCCCUGGGAUUAGGGGGAUACGCUGUCAUUACUAUUGUAUAGAAUAGUUUGUUUCUGAUGUUUUAACAAAGUUCGUUGGCGAGGUAGUGGAAUUCUUUGACAGCUGCUUUCUGUGGGAGCAAUACUUGCAUGUAUCCAUCUGUAGGACUACUGUAGUGAAGUUAGCUGUUUCAAGCAAUUGGCUGGAUAUGUCUUGUGGUUCUUACGGUGGAUUGCUUGAUAAGCAAUAUUUAAUAAACUAGAAAAAUGGUAUAAUUGAACUAAGCCUGAAAACGUCUCUUAAUUCCAAGUAGAAAUGAAAUCAUUCCUACUUAGUCUUUUAUCCAAAGUUCAAUCCACAGUAUUUAAUUAAAUGUGUUUCCUAGUCAUCUUUCUCAUUUAGAAGUUGCUUCUAUUCAUAGCCACAUCUGACUCAUCUUUAAUAUGCCUACUUAGGGCUUCCCCUGAUUCAAUAAAAACCAAACUCUCAUGGUUUCCUCCUGAAUUGUAGCCGUUAGAUUCAUAAUUCUUUUGCUUCAUUGUCCUUUCUCUUUAGCAUUUAGGGUACUGUUCAUCUGCUUAGUAGGUCUUUUUAGAAGUCCUUUACCUUUGCCUGUCUCCUUUGCUCAUAGUUGAAGUGACUUGCACCCACAUGCCAUAAAUACUUUUAAGCUUUUAAUGCCUCGAGUGUACAUUACUACACUGUAAUAAGGAUUUCACUAAAUCUGUUCUUCUUUGUUGUCUCCUCAAAUUAAACUAACCAGAGGCCAUGGAGGUUUUUUGUUAUUAGGAAAAGAAGGAGUCAUAAUAGAAGUAUUUGCCAAGUCAUAUCAGGGAGCUAAUUCUAAUGGGGUUUUGUGAAUGUUCUUGAAUCAUAAUGGUAAAACGACAGGAAGUGGGAAUGGCAAGGAUCAUUUCCUGAAGAGUUGUGGCUUGAAAUGAAAUGAGCCUUAUCUUCCCCCUUUUGCCCAUCUAAGCAACCUCCCUUCCAAAAGUUUUGAGUUUUAAGCCUAAUCUGUGUGAUAAAUGAGCAUUCACUGAUUUGAAAAUUCUGCUGUCUGUGGUGCAAAGUAGCAACUGGUGACUUUGAAAGUUUUCUACAUUAUUACUGCUAUGUUUUACACCACCCCUUAUCAUGUCCCACUGCCAGUCAUAGAAUCAUAUGAGUUGGAAGGGACCCUUAAAGGCCAUCUAUAGCUCGAUCAGGUUACUCAGAGCCCAUCCAGCCUGACCUUGAGCUUCUGCAAGAAUGAGGCAUCCACCACCUCUUUGGACAUCCUGUUCAGUGCCUCACCACCCUUAUUUAAAAAACAAGUUCUUCCUUAUAUCCAACCUAAAUCUCUCCUCUGUUAGUUUGAAACCAAUUCCCUUUGUCCUGUCACAACAGGCCCUGCUAAAGAGUGUCUGCUUCUUUCUUUUGUCUUAAAUCUUUCUUAUAUUUUUAUUUCUCACUAUCUAAAGGUGGUGGGUGAGGCCUUAGAUACCGAAAGAUCAUUUUCAUAGCCCUCCUCUGGAUGUGCUCCAACAGAUCCAUGUCUCUCCUGUACUGAGGAAUCCACGUCCAGAUGCAGUACUCCUGCUGAGGUCUCACCAGUGCAAAAUAGAGGGGAUGAAAGUUACCAAAUGAAAGAAGACUCUAGAUGUCAAUAUGGACACGGUACACAUUCCAAAGAUUAGCACAACUGCUUAAAGAUCAGGUUCUUAUGGAAUUAAAUGGAAAUCAUACAUUAGAAAUAAGUGGUUCUGUCUAGGUUGGUGUGUUGCACAGAGGCCAAGAGUAAGUGCUAACACAAGCUAUAGGUGUGUGGUGUUGAAACUCAGUGUGAUAGUAAAACAUACUUGUUUUACUUUAGCAGAAGAAAGUUGCAUGUGCAAGUAGUUCAGUGUAAUAAGAGGAUUAGGAGCUUAACUGUAAGGCUAUACUUAGUGCGUGGCUGUACCUCUUCUGGAUGAGAAGAUUACUGUGCCCAACCACUCAUUACCACCUUACCAAUAGUAGUUUUCUGGGAUGUGUAUUUGAUGCCUAGCCAAGUUUUGUCAAAGUGACCCAGAUGCUUUUCACAGUGGUGGUGUUUUGUUUUUCUAACCCAGUUCUUAGCCGAAAAGGUCAUGGAAGUUUUCUCUGAAAUUUUACAACCUAAGCAUUGCUCAUUGCAUAAAUUUGUUAGAGAAAGCCCCAUUCUCUUCCUUGGUGCUUGAACAAUUGGUUUUCAGGAACAACUAAACUGUUAACACAUUAUUUUAAGCUUUACAAAUUGGCCAGCUACAUAUUUUAUAUGCAUGUACAUAUACAUAUAUAAAUUUUAUACUAAUAUUGCUAGAUGUAUGGAGCCAACUUAUGGGAUACAUUAUUUGACUGAUUAUUGGGAUGAGCUGUGUAAAGACAAUGUAGGACACUUGAAUUGUAUUAGUAAUAUAAGCAGCCUUAUCCUUACUAAUGACUUGUAUGGAUUGCAAUAUGUUGAGUCACUACUGAGGUCUAUGGCGAGGAAUUAAACCUGUCAUUUCUGCCCCAACAACUGAAAAGAGAAAUAACCUAGAAACACUUUGAGUGCUGAGUUUUUAAUAGAAUCUAUUAUGGAGUUUAAUAGAAGCUAUUAUGGAGUAUUACGGAAAUAUGGAGUUACUGCCUCUUUCAUUAUAUCAACAUGGGUGUUUUGGGAUGCUCAAGAACUUGAUUUUGUCUAUAGGACUGAAGCUUAAUCAUUGUUCUUGUGGCUUGAUAAGUUGUUAAUAGUAACUCUUUUUACUUGACCUUAAUGUCCUAUCUAACGUGAGAAAGCAUUAAAAAACAAUAGAAAAAACAGUACAGUGCUUCAGUAAGCAAGACAAAUAAAAACUAUAGGCCAUCUGGAAUCAAUACUGCUGUAAUUAUGCUAACUGAUGUAAAAUAUUUGUGUAUAUAUAUUCUAUGUAAGGUCACGGAUGUUAUUUUUUUAUGAGCAGUAGGUCAUCCUGUUGGUAGUAUAGGAAAAGUUCUUCACUGAGGCGGUUGUUUAGCUUGUAUUGAAAUUGUGUGUUACACAAUGUCUUCGUGUGUUCUGUAAUGCUUCAGGUUUGAAGAUUUUUUCCUUAGGUGAACUCUACUGGCAUUUCUUGAGAUGAUGUAUUACUUUUUUCUCAGUCAUAAAUUCCAUAAUUCCUUAUUACUGUAUUUGGCUUUCAGCUGUGUACUUUACGUGCCUAAUUUCAUGGAUUGAUUGCAUGUUCCUGUUUCUUCCUAAGAGUGCCUGCUUUUGUGGGAGCAGAUUCCUCUGUCUCUUGCUUCUGAACCUCUGGUUGGCAGGUUAACGUUUGCAUAGGAGGCCAUCCCUAGAGAAUACUAGUAGUCAUAAAGCCAGCUGGAGCCAAAACAGAAAAUUAGUAGAAAAUGGAGGGAGCCGGGUGGUGGUAAAACACCAGAUACCUUGAAGAAAACUUGCUUUGGAAAGAAGGUGAUGUAAAAUGGGGCUCAAAGCAAAGCCCACCUGGCAUCAAGAUGCUAGACUGCAGAACACACGGAACAACUAAGGACCUCAUCAGCUCUUUCUAAAGGAUACUUGUUGUAUUACAGUAACUGAUAGGCUUUUUUUUGUGUUUCAGACUGUUUAUUAAGCUAUUGCCAAAAAGAGAUCUGUAUAAGUAUCUGUAUAUUCAUUAAGACUUACUAAUUCUUCCUUCCUGUUCUUGACGAGAUGGCAGAGAUUGGUGCAACACUGUCCUGGUCUUUCACUGUGAACUGCUCAUCUGUGUAAAACAUUUCAAAAGACCUGUAGGUCCUUCAAUUUAUUCAGUGACUACUGUACCCUGCUUUGCCUCGAGAUAAGUCUGUGUCCAGUCUGUCUGUAAACAGAUGGAGGUUUUUAUUUCCAGACUGUACUACCUCCAAACAAGAUGACUUCUGCCUGGUCUAUUUGAAAGCUUUGUCAUUCUGCAUCUGUAUAAAUAGGCCCUCAGGAGGACAGAGGUGAAAAGUUCAAACUUAGACAAACCGUAUGUUUGUAUUUGUGCGUCUUAAUUAGUCCAGGCUUAAUUAACCUGUAAAUCCUUCUACAGACAUGGGACCUAGAUCCUAGCCUACUACUGUGUUGCCACGUUGCAUCUGAGAUCCCCUAUUUCUUGAUAGGAAAAGACAAUCUUUAUGUAAGCCCUUUGUCUAAAAACACCCGUGAUCUAAAGCUGAUCUAUAGAAGCAUGAUCCAACAAGAAACAAAUAAUUAACUUCUGAAGUAACACAGAGCUCUGUCAUUCUGUACAUAAGUUGAAAGUUUCGUAAUGCUACGGUCAUGUUUUAGCAUAGAUACUGAUACAGUGCUUGCCAAGGUGGCUUAUGUGCUGGCAUGCUGGGGAAAUUUAAUUGGCUGAUGGACAGUUGGCAGAAUUACACUCUUCAUUCUGCUGUUUCUUUACUAUGAGAGUGGUGAGGUGCUGGAACAGCUGCCCAGAGAGGCUGUGGAUGCCCCAUCCUUGGAGGUGUUUAAGGCCGGGUUGGAUGGGGCCCUGGGCAGGCUGGGCUGGUAUUAAAUGGGGAGGUUGGUGGCCCUGCCUGCGGUGGGGGGGUUGGAGAUUCAUGAUCCUUCAGGUCCCUUCCAACCUGGGCCUUUCUGUGAAACUGCUAUGCCACUGGAUUAUGAACUCAAUGUGGUUUUAAAAAGCAUCAUUCAAUACCCAAGAACUAGACAAUGUUGGUGCCAAUUGCUGUGUGUAGUGUUAUUUUGUGUUAGGGAUUUAAUUUAUCCUAUUGUUGAACAGGAAGAAAUGUGCGAAUAAGGUCUGUAUGGACAAACUAAGCCAUUACAGAUCAAUCAUAAUGUGACCUUAUCCAGAGGGGGAAAUGGAAAAGUAAAGGAGUUAACUUCCCAUUCAGCUUUCCUACCCAAAUCUUACCGUGUUUUCUAAAGCAGUGAAGGCAGUGAUAGUCGAAUGAGGACAAAGAAUCACUGCUGUUUUUCCUCUCACGGUUCCUCUGAAGUUACAACGUGGUAACUUGCCAUGGAAAGGGGUUGUCAGGAGGCUUGGACAGAGGUUGGUAGAUGACAGCACUUUCAUGAUGCCAUUUGUCUCUCACUUCUACAUUAAUUAGAAGCAUGCAUGCGUUCAAGUGUUUUCACUGCUUUGUGAAUAGGGAAGAUUUUCCUGGAUUAAUUCCAGGCGUGCAGGUUAACAUUUUUCUGUGUAGGGACAAACGAAGGUGGGGUCACCGCUGUGAUUAACUGCUCAUUGUUCUUGCUUGGUAUUCAUCAGGGACUCCUCCUUGGAGCAAAGAGUAAAGAAGAUGCUUUUUGUCUCGUGAUAGCUCUUUUCCAUUGAGAGCACUGGCUACCUUUGAAUCUGGGGGGCAUAAAUAGGGGCCAGCUAUCAGACUGUUAGAGGUGUAAUGUGCAGUAUUGUCAGUGAGGAGAAAAUGGGUGGGUUUUUUUGUUAGGUUUGGUGACAAAAAUAAUGGAACUACGAUUCUACCAUUGCCAAAUGUUGGCAGCUGGAGCCUCAGUCAUUAUAGAAUUUAGAAGAAUGGAAUGUUGACAGCCUGUAGAAGUUAGGGUUUUAAGUAUUUGAUGACAGUUGAAUGUGUUAUGAGGGUGGAUAGUGAUAGGACAAGGGAGAAUGGUCUUAAAUUGAGACAGUGGAGGUUUAGGUUGGAUAUUAGGAGGAAGUUUUUCACCCAGAGGGUGGUGACGCACUGGAACAGGUUGCCCAAGGAGGCUGUGCAUGCCCCAUCCCUGGAGACAUUCAAGGCCAGGCUGGAUGUGGCUCUGGGCAGCCUGGUCUGGUGGGUGGCGACCCUGCACAUAGCAGGGGGUUGGAACUCGAUGAGCAUUGUGGUCCUUUUCAACCCAGGCCGUUCUGUGAUUCUGUUUGUCCAUUGCACUUCUAACACGAUGCUGUUUUUCCAAAGACCACUCUGGCACAGCAGCAGAAAUGCAUGAAUUCUGGUAUUGAUUGUAUUUCACAAACAGUGAAGAAGCCAUUUCAGUAUAUUGUGUUAGGGGAUGGCAGAGCACCUUCCUGUGCUGGUUUAGGAGACAAAGUGGAGAGAUUAUUUACUUUCAUGAAUUUUUUGUGCUUCCAAGAAAAUGAUGCAGCUUCAAACCCAACAGUCCUCCAGAUUCCCCAGCUCCUUGAGGAAGUCAGUAGUGCUGUUCCUGCCUUGAAUUCUCCUCAGGCUUUUUCUUUUUUCUUUUAGUUGCUGUUAACCACGUGUGAGUGACUUCCCUGAGCAUUGUGAUGCGGAGGGGCUCUGUCCUGCAGGACGGCUGCAUGGUGAGGUGCUGGAACAGCUGCCCAGAGAGGCUGUGGAUGCCCCGUCCAUCCCUGGAGGUGUGCAAGGCCAGGUUGGAUGGGGCCCUGGGCAGCCUGGUCUACUGUUAGAUACAGGCAUUGGUGGUCCUGCCUGCAGUGGGGGUGUUGGAGCUUCAUGAUCCUUCAGGUCCCUUCCAACCCAAGCCGUUCUAUGAUUCUGUGAUGCCGCUGUCCAGGGCUGCCUCGCACACAGGCAGCACAGCACUCUUCAGACACAUAUAUGGGGCCUAAUGCCUUUCCUCUUUAUUUUUUGUUGUACGGCUGCCAGUACUGGAGCCCUGGGGAGACAAUCCCA
rnacentral:lncRNA from 1 species